GUCCAGGGGCGGGAAUCGAACCAACAACCUUCUGCUUACCGGGCAGGUGCCAUGUCCACUAGGCUACCCUGGA
rnacentral:tRNA from 1 species